AAUGGGUGAGGUGAUAGAGGGAAGCAUAAACGGCUGUGGGAGCACUAGGAGGGACUUCACCCAGAGGAGGGAAUGCCUAAACAGUUGUUUAGAUGGAUGCACAGGUAAGUGGGUGGCUGGGUGGAUGAAUGAAUGGAUGAUGGAUGUACAGGUAAGUGGGUGGCUGGGUGGAUGAAUGAAUGGAUGAUGGAUGUACAGGUAAGUGGGUGGAUGGGUGGAUGAAUGAGUGGGUGAUGGAUGUACAGUUAGUAUGUGGAUGGGUGGAUGAAUGAAUGGAUGAAUAGGUAUAUAGGUGGGUGGAUGCAUUUGUGGGUAGAUAGGUGGAUGGAUGGCUAGGUUGGUAUGUGGGUGGAUAGGUGAGUAGAUGAAUGGGGGAAUUGGGGAAGGGUCAAUAAAUGGUUGUACGGGUGAGGAAACGUCACAGAAGGCAGUGGGGAAUGAGAGCAUAUUCCUGAUCAGGGCAGUCUUCCUUUACCUGGACUGUGAACACCUGAGGGCCGGGGACAAUACCUGAGUCAUCCCUUUAUUUCCACACCUAGCACAGGCCUGAUUCGUGGUAGGCCUUCAAUAAAUGUCGAGUAUGCGAAUCAACGAUAAUCAAGGAAUACCACGAAUUCAGAGUUCAGCCAAAUCUCUUCCCCUUUCUGGGCCUCAGUUUCUCUGUGUAAAUCAGAUAUGAAAACACCUGCCAUCAGAAUUUUUAAUGCUGUUGGUGCUGCAAAAGGGAGACUGUGCUUGGGAACCUGUUUUAGAAUUCGCCAUGUGACAGACCUCAGGCAACCAGCGUCUUCUACUUUGCCCACUGUCGCACUCCACAUCCGUGCCUCCGCGGCACUUUGUGUACAUUAUCUUACUCAACACUGGAUAGGUAUUGUUGUGAUUAUGCCCAUUUAACAGAUGAGGCUGUUGAGGCUCGGAGAGGCCAAGAAACUUUGAAGUCAGAUCAAUUGAGAUCGAAAUCCUGGCUCUGCCGUGUAAACUUGGGAAAGUUUACUUCACCUCUGGGAACCUCUCAAAGAUGAGGAGAUUAAACGAGAUAAAGCAUGGAAAGCGCCUGGCACACAGGAGGUCAUUGGUGGUGGUUCUCUUCGUUGCUCAAGCCGGGAAGUUAGAGUGAGAUUCUGUUCUUUCUAUCAACCAUGCUGAUGCCUUUACGUUAGUUAACAAAAAAGAUUACAGUUCUGCUUGGACUAUGGUGCUUCAACAUAUGUAAGGAAGAUUUCAACUGCACAUUUUGAAACUUGCAACGUUCAGAAUAACUAAAUAAUCAGUGAGCUGCUGUGGCCUCCCCGGGAAGAUAAUGUGCCAUUUCCUUCCCCCUCCUGCCUCCUAGUGGUGAAUGUGGGCACUGCAGGCUCAGCAUCCCCGCCCCCUCCCUCAACCUUCCAUCCAGGAGAGCCAGGCUCCCGGCUGCCUCCCAGGCCAUCUAGUGACUGUUGACUGCAGAGCAAGAAAGGAGGAGCGUGUGCCAAGCAAAUGAAUGAAGACGUCCUGCCUAGACCUCACGCCCUGCUCCAUCACUCACUGGCUGUGCGGCCUUGGGGGUAUCGUUCCCUGAAUGUUAGUUUCCACGUUGGUAAAAAUGGGUAAGACACCUACCUUGGAGAAUUUGGGGGGAUGAAUAUACUAACUGAGGCAAAACACCUAGCAAAGGGCGGAUGCUCCAUAAAAUAUAGUUCCUCUGCUAAUAAAAGGAAAAAUUAAAUAGCCCGACUAAAUUAUUACAGACUGGCUCACAGUUUCAUAGCAGAGUAAAGGGCCACGGGGCAGGUCAGUUUUGAGGGCAGGGGAAGAAGGUCAAAGGGCAUUGUUAGGACAAUCCAGGGCUGGGGCACAGCCGGGGAGUGUGGGUGCAGAGUCAAGAAGAGAUUCAAGAGCAUACCAAUGACCUUGAGAAGUGACCUCUGCUUGUGUUGUUAGGACACAGACAUGUGGAGGUCUCAGGCCACAGCAGAGGAGGGGACAUGAACAACAGCAAGUGUUCCAGGAAGGACUGUGGACCAGGCCAGUCAAGGAGUGCUCCCUGGAGGAAGGGAUAUUUAAAGCUGGGGUAGGUUCUGGAGAGUGAGGCGGGGAUCGAGGGGGUGUUCCAGAUCAGGGAGGGAAAGAAAGAGGAAGCACAAGCCAAGGUCCAAGGGCUUUGAGAAGGAGACCAGCUGGAGAGAAGGCAGGGCAGGAGGUCAGGCCAGACCACCCUGGGGCCAGGAGCUUCACCGGGACCCCCUGGAUGGGGAGGAGCCUGAGAAAAUGUUCCAACAGGGCCUGACAAGGGCAGAGGCUGAGCAGCUUAACUUAACAUCUCUGUGCAGAUUGGAUGGGAAGAAUGACUAGAUUUGGUUAAAUGCACGAAAAAUUCAAAGCCACAAUCCCUGAAGCCAGUAUGGGGUAGGAACAGCAAAGGGACACAGCUGUCUCCUGGCCCCGGCUCUUUUCAGCAGGCUCAGCGGCAGCUCCCCUCACUGAAAGGUGGCAAGGUGCAGUGCAGGGCCAGCCCUAGACCUGCUGAGCACCGCGACUGCCUGGGGACUGGGGCACCUUGAAAAACCAACUCCCCCACUCCAGCCCACAGCAGCUGAAGUAGGAUUUCUGGGGUUGGGCCCUGGAAUCAGAAUUGUUAGUAGCUCUGCAGGUGAUAGAGGUACUCCUCCAGGCUGAGGAUAAUCCGUGAGCAGGGAAAGAAUGGGGAUUUGGAGAAGGAUGGACGCAGAGCCAAUGCCAGGCCCAUUCCUUUUGGGCUGUGCUGCCCUGGGCAAGUCACUUCACCACUCUGAGUCCCAGGGUCCCACCUAUAAAACAGGCAUGAAAAACUCUCCCCAAAGAAUUGGCUAGAAAUGAUUUUGGAGGAAAUGAGGCCAGUCCCCAGGAAGGAAUGGCUGCAGCAGAUUAAUGUCAAGGUUUGCCCUGGGUUUUCCCUUGCCCAUCACGCCAUCCCAGCUGGCCCUGGAAGAAGUAGUGGGGGGCAGACAGGGCACGUCCUAGGGGCCUCAAUGUCCCUUCAGGGGCUCUUCCUCCCUCCGACCAGCCUCCAGGCGCCCUCAGCUGCCCCCUCCCCUUUCGUCUCAGGCAAGCCAGGGCUAGCUCCCAGGAGAGAGGCCAGCAUUCUGUGGUUUCGGAGCCCCCGGGGACCCCAAGGUCUCUGGGUGGUUGUAGGGUGAUCAUUUACGGUGGCUGAAUGGGGGCCUAGAGGUCAAGUGUGGAUCCUGCGGUCAAUGAGGAGGAAGGAACGACAGGAUUGGAUUGCUGGCUGGGUAUAAGGAGGGAUGAGGGCAUUGAAGGUGACGCCCUGGUUUUGGGCCUGGACAAGGGGUGAGCCAAGGAGGGAGUAGGAGAAAGGAGUGUGCCUGUUACUGUGGCAGGACACACAGGAAGAGCAGAUUUGGGGUGGGAGAAGAUCCUCAGCUUCCUAAUGGGGAGGAGAAUGUAUCAGAACUCCUUCCAGCCCCCUGGCUCAACAGAUUCAAAGUGGCUUAGACACACAGCGCGUUCUGUUUUCUGCGUUUGUUUUUCUUCUCCCAUGAAGCAGUCCAGGUGGGCGUCCAGGGCAGGUACUGAGCCCCACCAAGUUAUCAAGGAUCCAGACGGCUCCCAUCUUUCUGCUCCAGCGCACGUGACUGCCGCCCUUCCCAUCACCUCAGGAUCCAAGAUGGCAGUGGAGUCGGGCAUCACGUGUCUGUCCAGUCGGUGAACAGGAGGAAGGGGAGGGGGAGACGGGACGAGACUGCGAGUCAAGUGAGCUUCUUUCAAGUAAUCUCAGAAGUCCCCCAUGACACCUUCACAUCUGUUGGGAAGAACCAAGUCACAUGGCCAUUACUACUGCCAAGGCAGGCUGGGAAAUAGCAUCUUUAUUAUGGACAACCAUGUACCCAGCUCAACAGUGGGGACCUGUUGCUAGGUACAAAGAAGAGAAUAGAUGCGGGGAGGCAGCUGGCAGUCCUUGCCCUAAUCAUCACUCAAGAUGCCCAGAACU
ensembl:lncRNA